UACGUAGGGUGCGAGCGUUGUCCGGAUUUAUUGGGCGUAAAGGGCUCGUAGGCGGCGUGUCGCGUCGGGAGUGAAAGCCCGUUGCUUAACGGCGGGUUGGCUUUCGGUACGGGCAUGCUGGAGUGCGGCAGGGGAGACUGGAAUUCCUGGUGUAGCGGUGGAAUGCGCAGAUAUCAGGAGGAACACCUGUGGCGAAAGCGGCUCACUGGACCACAACUGACGCUGAGGCGCGAAAGCUAGGGGAGCAAACAGG
rnacentral:rRNA from 1 species